rnacentral:rRNA from 1 species
UACGGAGGGUGCAAGCGUUAUCCGGAUUCACUGGGUUUAAAGGGUGCGUAGGUGGGCAAGUAAGUCAGUGGUGAAAUCUCCGGGCUUAACCCGGAAACUGCCAUUGAUACUAUUUGUCUUGAAUGUCGUGGAGAUUAGCGGAAUAUGUCAUGUAGCGGUGAAAUGCUUAGAUAUGACAUAGAACACCUAUUGCGAAGGCAGCUAACUACGCGAAUAUUGACGCUGAGGCACGAAAGCGUGGGGAUCAAACAGG